GAGCUAACGCGUUAAGUAGUCCGCCUGGGGAGUACGGCCGCAAGGUUAAAACUCAAAUGAAUUGACGGGGGCCCGCACAAGCGGUGGAGCAUGUGGUUUAAUUCGAUGCAACGCGAAGAACCUUACCUGGUCUUGACAUCCUGAGAACUUCGCAGAGAUGGUUUGGUUCCUUCGGGAACUGUGAGACAGGUGCUGCAUGGCUGUCGUCAGCUCGUGUUGUGAAAUGUUGGGUUAAGUCCCGCAACGAGCGCAACCCUUAUCCUUUGUUGCCAGCGGUCAGGCCGGGAAUUCAAAGGAGACUGCCAGUGAUAAACUGGAGGAAGGUGGGGAUGACGUCAAGUCAUCAUGGCCCUUACGACUAGGGCUACACACGUGUUACAAUGGCGCAUACAAAGAGAAGCGACCUCGCGAGAGCAAGCGGACUUCAUAAACUGCGUUGUAGUCCGGAUUGGAGUUUGCAAUUCGAUUCCAUGAAGUGGGAAUCGUUAGUAAUCGUGGAUCAGAAUGCCCCGGUGAAUACGUUCCCGGCCUUUGUACACACCCCCCGUCACACCCAUGGGAUUGGGUUCCAAAAGAAGUAGGGUAGGCUUACC
rnacentral:rRNA from 1 species